rnacentral:rRNA from 1 species
AGAGGAAGGAGGGGAUGACGUCAAGUCAUCAUGGCCCUUACGCCCAGGGCUACACACGUGCUACAAUGGAGAGUACAGAGGGUUGCGAACCAGUGAUGGUAAGCCAAUCUCAAAAAGCUCUUCUCAGUUCGGAUUGAAGUCUGCAACUCGACUUCAUGAAGCUGGAAUCGCUAGUAAUCGCGUAUCAGCAAUGACGCGGUGAAUACGUUCCCGGACCUUGUACACACCGCC